AUUGAACGCUGGCGGAAUGCUUUACACAUGCAAGUCGAACGGUAGAGGGGGCAACCCCUCGAGAGUGGCGAACGGGUGAGUAAUAUAUCGGAACGUGCCCAGUCGUGGGGGAUAACGUAGCGAAAGCUACGCUAAUACCGCAUACGAUCUACGGAUGAAAGCGGGGGACUCGUAAGAGCCUCGCGCGAUUGGAGCGGCCGAUAUCAGAUUAGGUAGUUGGUGGGGUAAAGGCUCACCAAGCCAACGAUCUGUAGCUGGUCUGAGAGGACGACCAGCCACACUGGAACUGAGACACGGUCCAGACUCCUACGGGAGGCAGCAGUGGGGAAUUUUGGACAAUGGGCGCAAGCCUGAUCCAGCAAUGCCGCGUGCAGGAUGAAGGCC
rnacentral:rRNA from 1 species